GAUGAACGCUGGCUACAGGCUUAACACAUGCAAGUCGAGGGGAAACGACGGGGAAGCUUGCUUCCCCGGGCGUCGGCCGGCGCACGGGUGAGUAACGCGUAUCCAACCUGCCUCUGACUGAGGGAUAACCCGUCGAAAGUCGGCCUAAUACCUCAUGGUAUCGUCUGCGGGCAUCCAACGACGAUUAAAGAUUUCAUCGGUCAGGGAUGGGGAUGCGUCUGAUUAGCUUGUUGGCGGGGUAACGGCCCACCAAGGCUACGAUCAGUAGGGGCUCUGAGAGGAAGGUCCCCCACAUUGGAACUGAGACACGGUCCAAACUCCUACGGGAGGCAGCAGUGAGGAAUAUUGGUCAAUGGGCGAGAGCCUGAACCAGCCAAGUAGCGUGCAGGAAGACGGCCCUAUGGGUUGUAAACUGCUUUUAGGCGGGGAUAAAGUGAGGGACGUGUCCCUCAUUGCAGGUACCGCAUGAAUAAGGACCGGCUAAUUCCGUG
rnacentral:rRNA from 1 species